CGCCUGGGGAGUACGGGUGAGGUAACGGCUCACCAAGGCGACGACGGGUAGCCGGCCUGAGAGGGUGACCGGCCACACUGGGACUGAGACACGGCCCAGACUCCUACGGGAGGCAGCAGUGGGGAAUAUUGCACAAUGGGCGCAAGCCUGAUGCAGCAACGCCGCGUGAGGGACGACGGCCUUCGGGUUGUAAACCUCUUUUAGCAGGGAAGAAGCGAAAGUGACGGUACCUGCAGAAAAAGCACCGGCUAACUACGUGCCAGCAGCCGCGGUAAUACGUAGGGUGCAAGCGUUGUCCGGAAUUAUUGGGCGUAAAGAGCUCGUAGGCGGUUUGUCACGUCUGCUGUGAAAAUCCAAGGCUCAACCUUGGACUUGCAGUGGGUACGGGCAGGCUAGAGUGGGGUAGGGGAGAUGGGAAUUCCUGGUGUAGCGGUGGAAUGCGCAGAUAUCAGGAGGAACACCAAUGGCGAAGGCAGUCUUCUGGGCCGGUACUGACGCUGAGGAGCGAAAGCAUGGGGAGCAAACAGGAUUAGAUACCCUGGUAGUCCAUGCCGUAAACGUUGGGCACUAGGUGUGGGGUCUUCUAACGGAUUCCGUGCCGUAGCUAACGCAUUAAGUGCCCCGCCUGGGGAGUACGG
rnacentral:rRNA from 1 species